ensembl:scaRNA small Cajal body-specific RNA 2
CCUCGCGAGUGGGAGCGUGGCCGGGGUCCUGGACGGAGGCUGUUUAGUGUGGUGUGGUGUGGUGUUUCGUGCAUGGCGCGUGUGGGCUGAGUGCGAGUGUGGAUGUGGGAGUGUGUGUGCGUGCCUGGGGUGUGCGAGGCGAGUGUGUCCGCCCCGCGCCUCUCCCUUGCCUACACCUUGAUCUUAUUUGAUCGGGUCGUGACCCCCGCCCCGCCGGGCCGUCCCGAAAUGAAAAGCAGCCCUCCUGCGAAGCCCCCUCCGCGGGGCGCUGUGCAGCGAGGCCCCCCUGGGCGGUGGCAGUGCCGGUCCUGCGGGCCCGGCGCUCAGAAGUGAUGAAUUGAUCAGAUAGACGAGGCCGGGUCUGUCCCGGCCGCUGAUUACCGAGGCGAUUCUGAUCUGA